AAGGUAUGGUGAGGACACUUUCUAACCAUAUCCUUGAAUCUCUCUCAACUCUCAUAAAUAAAUUCUCCUUCUAACCGAGUAAAAGAAGUAAUGUCUUUUCUAAGCUU